rnacentral:rRNA from 1 species
GACGUAGGGCGCGAGCGUUGUCCGGAUUUAUUGGGCGUAAAGAGCUCGUAGGCGGCUUGUCGCGUCGGUUGUGAAAACCCGUGGCUCAACUGUGGGCGGGCAGCUGAUACGGGCAGGCUGGAGUUCGGUAGGGGAGACUGGAAUUCCUGGUGUAGCGGUGAAAUGCGCAGAUAUCAGGAGGAACACCAGUGGCGAAGGCGAGUCCCUGGACAACACCUGACACUGAGGCGCGAAAGCUAGGGGAGCAAUCAGG